UGCGGUUUAAUUGGAUCAACGCCGGAAAUCUCACCGGGGCGACAGCAAUAUGAAGGUCAGGCUGAAGACCUUACCCGAUUAGCUGAGAGGUGGUGCAUGGCCGUCGUCAGUUCGUACUGUGAAGCAUCCUGUUAAGUCAGGCAACGAGCGAGACCCACGUCCACAGUUGCCAGCAUACCCUCCGGGGUGAUGGGUACACUGUGGAGACCGCCGCUGCUAAAGCGGAGGAAGGAGUGGGCAACGGUAGGUCAGUAUGCCCCGAAUCUCCCGGGCUACACGCGGGCUACAAUGGUUGGUACAAUGGGCAUCUACCCCGAAAGGGGAAGGAAAUCUCUUAAAGCCAAUCGUAGUUCGGAUUGAGGGCUGCAACUCGCCCUCAUGAAGCUGGAAUCCGUAGUAAUCGCGUUUCAACAGAACGCGGUGAAUACGUCCCUGCUCCUU
rnacentral:rRNA from 1 species